rnacentral:sRNA from 1 species
UUUAAGCCAAAGAUUGGUUUGCGUGAGGGAUAGCAGCGAAAAUCCUUUUUUAUUAAUUGUAGCGUAGCGGAAAUGAAUAAAAAAGAUUGCAGCGAAUAGCCCGACCCUGA